UAUUGCACAAUGGGCGCAAGCCUGAUGCAGCCAUGCCGCGUGUAUGAAGAAGGCCUUCGGGUUGUAAAGUACUUUCAGUUGUGAGGAAGGGUGUGUAGUUAAUAGCUGCACAUCUUGACGUUAGCAACAGAAGAAGCACCGGCUAACUCCGUGCCAGCAGCCGCGGUAAUACGGAGGGUGCGAGCGUUAAUCGGAAUUACUGGGUGUAAAGCGUGCGUAGGCGGUUCGUUAAGUCAGAUGUGAAAGCCCUGGGCUCAACCUGGGAACGGCAUUUGAAACUGGCGGACUAGAGUUUAGUAGAGGGGAGUGGAAUUUCAGGUGUAGCGGUGAAAUGCGUAGAUAUCUGAAGGAACACCAGUGGCGAAGGCGACUCCCUGGACUAGAACUGACGCUGAGUACGAAAG
rnacentral:rRNA from 1 species